rnacentral:lncRNA from 1 species
UGAUCUUGAAUUUUUAUUCGCUUAGUAAAGGUACACAUGUACACUUAAUUGGUGAUAUAAAUGAUCAUUCAACUCUUUUUAUUGCAUUGAUAGGCCAUCGCAAUCCAAAUCACCCACUAAACACUCCAAUGUGAGAAAAAGCUUGUGAAGUAUUUUUCUAUUUAUGUGAUUCUAAAAUUCAUAAUAUAUACCUCAAAUAUGCGAGAAUAUGAGAUUUUAUUAUUAUUAUUAUUAUUAUUAGGAGGGCAAAGCUAUCUAUUAUUAUUAGGAGCAGAGGUGUACAAAAAUCGAACCUAUAAAAAUGUUGUUGGAUUAUUAUUGUUGGGUUGUUGGUUUAACGAAAUUUUAAUGGUCUUAUUAAAAAAAAUUGGUUAUUGGUUCGAUUUUGAUUUUUUUUCACUUUGGGUUAUUGGAUAAACUAAUAACUCAAUAAGAAUAUAAUAAAUUACCAAUUUUAUUUAUUAGUUAUUCGUGUCUUCGCUCAAUUUCUAUAAACCUAUUCAAUUUCUUGAAAAUCCAUAGCCUGAUAAAGUUAAAUCGAUUCAAUUUUCUUUUUGAUAAAUCAACGGCGAGGGUUUGCAAUGACGACGACAUGUAUCAUGUUAGUUGCUAUUGCUUCUAUUUUUUGAGCAUUUUAUUGAUGUUAUGUUAGUUGUUAUUGUUACACGAUAUUUAAAAUUACUACGUCAAAUUGAUAUUUGUUUUUUGAACAUUUUCUUGUCAAUUAAUUUGAAAAUUGCUAAAAAAAUAUCUUAAUUAGCUUGACUAUUGAUUUGACAUAUUUAAAAACAAAAAUAAAAAAAAAUCAAACCGGUAGUGCAUAAACCGAACCAAAUUGAAGCGACUCGUGCACACCUCUAAUUAGGAGGACAAAUCUAUCAAAAAUGAAGACAUGAAAUUGUAUGGAGUCUCCCUAAUAUCCUUUGGGAAAGUCAAAACAAUUUUUGAUCUAAUCGACUUAUUCUUUAAUUGAAUGUUUGUAAAUUUCAUACUUGUAACUACUUACGGUUAAAAAAAGUAGUUUAGAGUACUAGAAAUUUCGCUAUAUGCAGGAUGCGAAAAAAGACUCUCAUCACAAAAGUGUAUUCUGUGCAAUUUUAACUUGCAUGUACCAACAUGGGUCGUGGUGCAGCGGAUGGGGCUGUUUCACCCUUAAUCAGAGGUUGAGGGUUCGACCCUGGGCAUGAAGAAAACUCUGUUGGGAGCGCUACUCCCCAAAUGGGGCCCUACCCGGCGCGAAUCCGGAUUAGCCGAGCUCCAAUACGAGUACCGAACACCGGAUGAAAAAAAAAAAUAACUUGCAUUUUUAUUUUCAAAUUACUUAUAUUACUUACUUAUAAGAGGUAGUCUCACUGCUAAAGUAGGCGGUAGCUCGCCAUGUUUGUCUAUCGGAAACAACCUUCCUACUUCUCCGGAGGUAGUGGUAUGGACUGCGUACAUCUUAC